GUUUAGUAUUUUAGACUACUGAUAGAUAUUGAAUUGAUGUUUGAUUUGACUGCAAUUAGGCCUACGAGAAAUGCUUUCAGAAUUUGCAUUACGUAGAGCGACAUGAGGAGCAUACAAUUGCCCAUGCAAUUCAAACUUCUUAUAAAAAGACCAAGGUGUAUCUCUGGCCUGCUCCAACAACAACUGGUAUGAAAGCUGGCAGAACAGUCGAAUCCAUACUGCACUUGGCUGGUUUAAAGAAUGUCAAGUCUAAGGUCAUUGGUUCCAGAAAUCCUCAUAAUACAGUUAAGGCUGUCUUCAAAGCACUUAAUGCGAUUGAAACACCAAGGGAUGUUCAAGAGAAGUUUGGUAGGACUGUGGUUGAGAAGUAUCUGUUGUGACGGAUAUGGCGAUGUGGUGAGUUCAGUCUUUUGGUUGUCUUCCAUUUAAUUUAUUAAUUGUACUUUUCAAUCAUGUGCAUUUACCGAGAAUGGAAGGGAGUUUUCCGAACGAAUUACUUGUGAACAUUAGCUAUGGAAUUUUGGCUGUAACUUUUCUUUAGCAAACGCAAAAGGAACAAUAGUUUAGGAAAUGUUCCUUUUCGUUUGUGUUUUUCCUCGCAUUUUGAAGCAUUC